rnacentral:rRNA from 1 species
ACACGUGCUACAAUGGUCGGUACAAUGGGUCGCCACCCAGCGAUGGGGCGCAAAUCCAUAAAACCGAUCUCAGUUCGGAUUGGAGUCUGCAACUCGACUCCAUGAAGUUGGAAUCGCUAGUAAUCGCGUAUCAGCAACGACGCGGUGAAUACGUUCCCGGGCCUUGUACACACCGCCCGUCAAGUCAUGAAAGUCGGUAACACCUGAAGCCGGUGGCCCAACCCUUGUGGAGGGAGCCGUCGAAGGUGGGAUCGGCGAUUGGGACGAAGUCGGAACAAGGUAGCCGUACCGGAAGGUGCGGCUGGAUCA